AAAGCUCAAAUUUGAAAUCUGGCGGUUCCGCCGUCCGAGUUGUAACCUGGAGAAGCGUCUUCCGCGCCGGACCGUGUACAAGUCCCUUGGAACAGGGCGUCGUAGAGGGUGAGAAUCCCGUCUUUGACACGGACCCCCGGUGCUAUGCGAUGCGCUCUCGAAGAGUCGAGUUGUUUGGGAAUGCAGCUCAAAAUGGGUGGUAAAUUCCAUCUAAAGCUAAAUAUUGGCGAGAGACCGAUAGCGAA
rnacentral:rRNA from 1 species